rnacentral:rRNA from 1 species
ACUAAAAACCUAGCCCCCCGCACCUUAAUGAAUCGCAACAAUUUAUUUUUUAAACUAAAACAUUCUAACACCUUAGUAAAGGCGAUUGAAAAGCUACUAGGAGCUAUACAAAUAGUACCGCAAGGGAAAGAUGAAAUAAUAAUGAAAUAAAUUUUAAGUAUAAAAUAGUAGAGACCUGCCCUCGUACCUUUUGCAUCAUGGUUUAACUAGUCAAAUUAAGCAAAACGUCUUACAGUUUAACUUCCCGAAACUAGGCGAGCUACUUCAGGGCAGCUUAUUGAGCUAACCCGUCUCUGUUGCAAAAGAGUGGGGUGACCUUCAAGUAGGGGUGACAGACCUAACGAGCCUAGUGAUAGCUGGUUAUUCAGGAAAAGGAUUUAAGUCCAACCUAAAGUCCACUAAAUACAACUAAAUAAAUAAACCUCGCUUUAGAGCAAUUCAAAUAAGGUACAGCCUAUUUGAAACAGGAUACAACCUCUUAAGAUGGGUAAUUACUUUUUAUAAUAAUUAAGUAGGCCUAAAAGCAGCCACCUUUAAAAUAGCGUCAAAGCUUCAUUAUUUUCCUUUUACAAUUCCUUUAAUAAUACAGAACCCUCUAUUAGUACUGAAUACUUCCAUACUUGUAUGGAAUAUUUUAUGUUAAAACUAGUAACAAGAAGAAGACCUUCACUACAAUGUAAGUGUAAAUCAGGCAGGACAUGCCACUGAUCAUUAACACGUAUGCAGAAAAAUUAAUAACCUUACAAGAAAAACUUAAUUUUCUUUAUGUUAACCUAACACAAGAGCAUUGCAAGUAAGAUUGAAAGAAAAAGAAGGAACUCGGCAAAUAUUAACCUCGCCUGUUUACCAAAAACAUCGCCUCUUGAUAACUAUAAGAGGUCCAGCCUGCCCAGUGACCCUGUUCAACGGCCGCGGUAUCCUAACCGUGCGAAGGUAGCGUAAUCACUUGUUCUUUAAAUAAGGACUAGUAUGAAUGGCAUCACGAGGGUUAUACUGUCUCCUUUUUCUAAUCAGUGAAACUAAUCUCCCCGUGAAGAAGCGGGGAUAACUAUAUAAGACGAGAAGACCCUAUGGAGCUUUAAACUGAAUAACACCUGCUUUUAAUUUCUACUCUCCCGAGUACCUACACUUAUUUUAGCCUUUUGAUUAUUAGUUUUAGGUUGGGGUGACCACGGAGCAAAAAACAGCCUCCACGUUGGACGGGGUUAAUCCCCUGAGCCACGAGCUACAUCUCCACGCACCAAUAAAUUGACAUGAAUUGACCCAAUAUAUUGAUCAACGAACCAAGUUACCCUAGGGAUAACAGCGCAAUCCGCUUCAAGAGCUCCUAUCGACAAGCGGGUUUACGACCUCGAUGUUGGAUCAGGGUAUCCCAGUGGUGCAGCCGCUACUAAAGGUUCGUUUGUUCAACGAUUAAAACCC